rnacentral:rRNA from 1 species
AUGCCAUUCGGGUUGUGCAACAUGCCAGCUACGUUUCAGUUCUUGAUGAACACUGUCUUCGGCUGCUACGUUCGUAAGUUCAUCAUUAUUUUCUUGGAUGACAUCUUGGUUUUCAGCAUAGACCUGCAGAAACACGAAGAACACCUGCGCCUCACUCUGGAGCUCCUCCGCGAAAAUCAGUUGUUCGCCAAGGCCAGCAAGUGUUCGUUCGCACAAACAAGUAUUGAGUACCUGGGGCACGUGAUCUCACAAGACGGCAUCGCCACCGACACAAGUAAGACCAGUGCAAUGCAGGCCUGGCCCGUGCCCUCGACACCAACCGAGCUGCGUGGGUUCCUAGGGUUGACAGGGUACUACCGCAAAUUCGUUCCUCACUAUGGCAUCAUCGCCAAGCCCUUGAUGCAGCUCCUCUCGAAGAAAGGAUUUGUCUGGGAUGACAAGGCACAACAAGCAUUUGACACGCUCAAGCAGGCGAUGAUGAGCACACCGGUCUUGGCGCUUCCCAACUUCACACGCCCGUUC